CACCGCGGUUAUACGAGAGGCCCAAGUUGACAGAAAGCGGCGUAAAGAGUGGUUAGGGAAAAUUUUAAACUAAAGUCGAAAGUUCUCAAGACUGUUAUACGCCUGCUCGAGAACAUGAAGUUCAUCCACGAAAGUGACUUUACCUGACCUGACCCCACGAGAGCUGGGGCA
rnacentral:rRNA from 1 species